AGGGUUAUCCUAGUGGGUUGUAUGAUUUGUGUUUGAUUGGAUAGGCUGAUAACCACAUUUCAAAUACACAGUGACAUAACUAUCUAUAAAAACUUACUGUGUGCAAAUACUAUAUUUUUUAUUGCACAUACAAAGCAUAAUUUACAACUUGGGGAACUUGGAGAGGAGAUGUGAAUCAUAUCCACCAUUAAGCAGUGCUAAAUAACAGGCUAAAAGUUAUUGGAUGACGCCAUGGAGCCUUGACUGAUGAGCAAUGUUGUCUGUCAUAUGCAUUACUCAAAUUACUGACUGUUUCUUUCGAAAUGUGGCUUGUGAGUCAGUCACUCUCAGCCAGCCAAAUGGAAAAAAAAGUUAAAUACAUGGACGGACGUCAUGAUAAAAGUGACGUCAGGCUUCCCUUAGCUUGCGCCAAGGCCUGAAGUUUUACAAGUAAAAUAAACAUGAUGCAUUUACAUUAUAACUAGAAUAGGUCACAUGGGGGUCAUGUUAUUAGUCGAAAUAAAUAUUUGUUGAACCGGGUAAAACUGGUCAGACAAGCGAGCAAUUCUGAGAAAUAGAGCGACCUCGGGAUACUUCACCGAGCGCGAAGAGUGGAAGGGAGAGUUGCACCAUCACUUUCUAAAAGUUUAACAUUGCUGUUUCACGAAAACAUACAACUAAAAAAGUGCUUUCCCCUCGGCCACCACAGCAUCCGUCUCCCUGUCGUCCCCAUGCAGCCGAGUCGCACACCAGGAAGGAAAGGGAAGUGGACACGUCGUUUGCAUAGCUGGUUCCUGUUGGCGGUGAGGGAGAGGUUGAGCAAUCCCCUGGGCCAUUGCGUAAGCUGGCCCCCUUCACUUUCAGGUACGAGCUAGUGAAUCUGUCUCUGUGGCUGAAAGUCAAGCCUCUUCUAGGAAUGUGAUACGUGUCAGAGGAGCGGGAUUGAGGUAAUGCCAUGCAAAUACUGCUCCAGCUCCACUGACUGCACAGCUACACAGACAGACAACACAGCACACAGGGGAGGUUGUGCAAGACCUGACACCUGCUGAACAGUGGCAGGCAGAAACACAUGAGGGGGUGAGCGAGAGAGAGGACGAAAUAGAGAGACAGAGGGAGAGAGAGGAAGAGUGGAGAAGACAAAACAAGAGAUGGAGCAGAGCGGGACUGACUGCUAUCAUGCCGUAACGGGUUGCAAUCAGUGUGCAAUGAUGACCAACACUUAGGCAUCACCUCUCCACACACAUAGUCUGCUUGCGUGUUUCAAGCGGCACCACAGGAGUCAACAGCAAUGGAAAAUGCAGUUCUAUUCAUAGAUUGCAUGAGAGUUGCAGGAGGUGAGAGUGUAUGUUGGAUCAUGAGUUUUCAGUGCCAGGUGCUGAAGAGGAAAAGGAUUGACUGGAAACGUUAUGCUUUUUUUUGACUGAAAACGCAUAACAUAUUCAUGAACUAUGUGUAAUAUAUUCAUAAAUGCUACAUACUGUAAAUGCAUAUAGUAGUUAUGCAUCCAUCAGUAGGGAUGUCACUGUCAUUGUCUGUUAACCUGUGGUUGUUGAAAUAACAUGACCUAAAAUGAGCAUUUAUUAAUGUUUAGUGCCAACAGACACAAUAAAAUACAUUGACAUCUGUCAUCCAUAUAUUGACUCAAUUAAUCAUGGAGAUCUAGUUUGUAGACUCCCAAGUUUAACAGGUUUGAUUGGGCGCCAACCGUACAGUAACACCCACAGGAAAAAACAACAACACCCCUCCUCCCCCCAGAAAUUCACCCCCUGCGAAAGGGAAGUGCUUAUCUGGUGUUCACAGCCUCGUUAGGGACUCUUUGGUUUGGUUUGCACUAAAAAAAAAAAUUAAAAAAGGAAGUGCUGAGAGGUAAAUCUUUUUCUGUGAAGGGAGUGUCUGAUAACAUUGGUAUUCCCCUACAUACACACACACACGCACGAGCAACACACGCACGCACACGCUCUCUCUCUGACAGAGCUAAUUGUGGAAGGGCAAUGUCGUAGCAAGUUCUUCUUGCUGGAAACAGUGACAGGUUUCAAACGACUGAGAAGUGGUCAGAAAGCAUUACUCAUUACCAGAAACAGAAAGUCAUAUUGGGCGAACAGAUAGCCCAGCAUUUUUCCCUCUCAAGGGCAUUUCCAUGUUUUUUUGCUGACCUUUUAUGUCUUUACGUAGACAUAAUAUAUGAUAUUGGUGUACUUUUAGAGACAUUUCAAUCUACUCUUUUAAUACAGUCAUAAUAUCCUAUAAUUGCUUAUAUGCAUCCAGAUGUAUUUCAAUAUCAACGACAUGUAACUUUUGUUGCUCUUGUUUUGACUCCAAGCUUUUGUUGGCGUGGUUGUGUUCUGCUGUGGAUCUGGUUGUAAGAUGACUGUCUGCAAAUAUUUUUGUGUAUGUGAGUCUUUCUGUAAACUAGGGUACCAGUGAUUUCCUACACUGGACAACUUGUUACAUCUGUUGAUACGUCAUUGAUAGUAAUCUGCCAUUUUCUUUAUGUCAUUAAAUUAAGAUGUAAGGGGGAUCAUAGCUAUAUUCAAUCAAAUGUACAAGUUGAUGUAAAACCUGUGUUUAACACUUUAUCAUGGUUGGUGUCUUGACAGAUUUGUCUAAAAUCG